rnacentral:rRNA from 1 species
AGAGUUUGAUCCUGGCUCAGGAUGAACGCUAGCUACAGGCUUAACACAUGCAAGUCGAGGGGAAACGACAUCGAAAGCUUGCUUUUGAUGGGCGUCGACCGGCGCACGGGUGAGUAACGCGUAUCCAACCUGCCCAUCACUUGGGGAUAACCUUGCGAAAGUAAGACUAAUACCCAAUGACGUCUCUAGAAGACAUCUGAAAGAGAUUAAAGAUUUAUCGGUGAUGGAUGGGGAUGCGUCUGAUUAGCUGUUGGCGGGGUAACGGCCACCAAGGCGACGAUCAGUAGGGGUUCUGAGAGGAAGGUCCCCCACGAUUGGAACUGAGACCACGGUCCAAACUCCGUACGGGAGGCA